UGGGUAACCUGCCUGUAAGACUGGGAUAACUUUGGGAAACCGGGGCUAAUACCGGAUGCUUGUUUGAACCGCAUGGUUCAAACAUAAAAGGUGGCUUCGGCUACCACUUACAGAUGGACCCGCGGCGCAUUAGCUAGUUGGUGAGGUAAUGGCUCACGAAGGCAACGAUGCGUAGCCGACCUGAGAGGGUGAUCGGCCACACUGGGACUGAGACACGGCCCAGACUCCUACGGGAGGCAGCAGUAGGGAAUCUUCCGCAAUGGACGAAAGUCUUACGGAGCAACGCCGCGUGAGUGAUGAAGGUUUUCGGAUCGUAAAGCUCUGUUGUUAGGGAAGAACAAGUACCGUUCGAAUAGGGCGGUACCUUGACGGUACCUAACCAGAAAGCCACCGGAAACUACGUGCCAGCUGCCGCGGUAAUACGUAGGUGGCAAGCGUUGUCCGGAAUUAUUGGGCGUAAAGGGCUCGCAGGCGGUUCCUUAAGUCUGAUGUGAAAGCCCCCGGCUCAACCGGGGAGGGUCAUUGGAAACUGGGGAACUUGAGUGCAGAAGAAAAGAGUGGAAUUCCACGUGUAGCGGUGAAAUGCGUAGAGAUGAGGAAGGACACCAGUGGCCAAGGCGACUCUCUGGUCUGGUAAUGACGCUGAGGAGCGAAAGCGUAGGGAGCGAACAGGAUUAGAUACCCUGGUAGUCCACGCCGUAAACGAUGAGUGCUAAGUAUUAGGGGGUUUCCGCCCCUUAGUGCUGCAGCUAACGCAUUAAGCACUCCGCCUGGGGAAUACGGUCGCAAGACUGAAACUCAAAGGAAUUGACGGGGGCCCGCACAAGCG
rnacentral:rRNA from 1 species